rnacentral:tRNA from 1 species
UCUGCGGUAGCUCAGCUGGUAGCGUGCUUGCCUAGCAUCCGUGAGGUCCUGGGUUCAAUCCCCAGCAGCACAC